AGCGAACGCUGGCGGCAGGCCUAACACAUGCAAGUCGAACGAACCUUUCGGGGUUAGUGGCGGACGGGUGAGUAACACGUGGGAACGUGCCUUUAGGUUCGGAAUAACUCAGGGAAACUUGUGCUAAUACCGAAUGUGCCCUUCGGGGGAAAGAUUAAUCGCCUUUAGAGCGGCCCGCGUCUGAUUAGCUAGUUGGUUGAGGUAAUGGCUCACCAAGGCGACGAUCAGUAGCUGGUCUGAGAGGAUGAUCAGCCACAUUGGGACUGAGACACGGCCCAAACUCCUACGGGAGGCAGCAGUGGGGAAUCUUGCGCAAUGGGCGAAAGCCUGACGCAGCCAUGCCGCGUAAAUGAUGAAGGUCUUAGGAUUGUAAAAUUCUUUCACCGGGGACGAUAAUGACGGUACCCGGAGAAGAAGCCCCGGCUAACUUCGUG
rnacentral:rRNA from 1 species